GAGACGGUACACACACCAGCUCAGUUCUAACAUCAGCCUCCCACCAGAUGGCCAGGAUGUUCUGAGAAACGUGUCUCAAUCUUCUCCACCAGCUCCUUCCCGAAUGGUGGAGGAUAGAACCUAGAGACGCAGUAAAAAUGUCACUGUGUAAUAAAUGGGCGCAUGAGAGAGAGAGAGGGUAUAGAGUGGAGAAGAGGACAGAGGGGUUGUUCUGAGAUGCGGACCAGAAGGUCGUGAGUUCAAAUCCCAGCACUGCAUACAGCUGCCACUGCUGGACUCUUGAGCAAGACCCUGAACCCUGAACUGCUCAGCUGUAUCAAUGAAAUAAAUGUAUAAGGGUAUCUGCCAAAUGGCGUAAAUGUACACUCGUCGUCCACUUUAUUAGGAACACCUGCACAUUCAUGCUGUUAUCCAGUCAGCCAAUCGUGUGGCAGCAGCACAAAGCAAAAAUGCUUGCAGAUACAGGGC
ensembl:lncRNA